rnacentral:lncRNA from 1 species
AUUUUAUUCUAGUAAUCAAACCAGAUGCAGCUCCAAAGUGUUCUGUGUGUGUGUGUGUGUGUGUGUGUGUGUCAUGGCAUGUGUUUUCUAUACUAGAUUAUAUAACAGAAAGGAGCCCAUAAGAACUGGAGAGUGAUUCCAAGGGUCCUCUGCACACACCUCUGUUACUACUCCAUUUAGCCUGGGACCACAAAUGAAGGAUGAUCUGAAAUGUACAGCGUCCUGGAAAGAAAACCCGCUCUGAGUAGAGGGCAGGGUGAGAGAGCUCCCUGCCCUGCUCAGACCUGGUCCUAGGUGGGUGUUACUCCCACACUCUGGUGGAAGUGCAGGUUAGUGGAAGUGUGGAAUUGGGUCCUUCAGACUUAAGUGUCUUUGGGCCAACUGGAGACUUCCUUGGAAAAUGAGGCUCAGUGUCUUCUACAAGCAAAUGGAUAAUAUUUUCAUUCAACUAGAUUGGACAGAAAGCUCCAUGUGCUUGGUGCUGUGUACUAGUGGACAUCAGUGCAGCCCUUCCCUUUACCACCCAUGCAAAAGAAGAAAACAAGGGGUCACUGAGGAGGAACAAGGAGCCAACAAGCAUUCCAAACCCAAGGACACACCACUCUUCUGACUGGGACUCAGCUGAUCGACUGUGAACUGUCUGGGUGUGGAUGGGGUGUACCUAUGAUUGAAUCUAGUGGAAGGACUGUACCAAACAAGAUCAUCAACAGUAAAUCUCUUCAUACCUGUUCAUUAUCCAUAAUGAUCACUGAUUUCCAUGUAGCUGGUAGCCAGCCUGACAGGCAAGAGACUGCUCUGCUUUGUAUGAUGACACAAAGGAAACUGCACUUUUAAUACUAUACAUUGCUUUUGAAAUGCUAACAUCAAUUAACACAGAAGAAGGAAAUAACAGAUAUGGCCCUUAGUCGCAGAGGCUUUAAUAUUGACUCUCUGUUAUGUAUCCUGUGUCAGGCCUGAAUCUUCUACAAACAUCUCUUCAUUAGUCUUUAUGGCAUUUCCUGUAUUAACAUCACCCUGCCCUGCUUUAUAAUGAGGAAAUAAAAGCUUUGAGGUAGCGUGGGGAUUAAUGGCAAAGCCAAGCCUCUUGCACCCUAAUCCCGUGUUCUUUCCAGAAGCUAAUUGGCUGUCAGUCACUUCCUCUAAAUAGCACAUGAGGGUACUAAGAGCCAAAGGGACAUGGGCAUGUCACCACCCAUGUGACAUUCUCGUAUGCAGAGAGAGGACUGCUCUUAAU